UGGCAUGUAGUGGAUGGGUGCUAGG
rnacentral:piRNA from 1 species